GCGAUAAGCGCCGGUAAGGUGAUAUGAACCGUUAUAACCGGCGAUACCCGAAUGGGGAAACCCAGUGUGAUUCGUCACACUAUCAUUAACUGAAUCCAUAGGUUAAUGAGGCGAACCGGGGGAACUGAAACAUCUAAGUACCCCGAGGAAAAGAAAUCAACCGAGAUUCCCCCAGUAGCGGCGAGCGAACGGGGAGGAGCCCAGAGCCUGAAUCAGCAUGUAUGUUAGUGGAAGCGUCUGGAAAGGCGCGCGAUACAGGGUGACAGCCCCGUACACAAAAGCGCAUGUGCUGUGAGCUCGAUGAGUAGGGCGGGACACGUGGUAUCCUGUCUGAAUAUGGGGGGACCAUCCUCCAAGGCUAAAUACUCCUGACUGACCGAUAGUGAACCAGUACCGUGAGGGAAAGGCGAAAAGAACCCCGGCGAGGGGAGUGAAAAAGAACCUGAAACCGUGUACGUACAAGCAGUGGGAGCACAGGUUUACCUGUGUGACUGCGUACCUUUUGUAUAAUGGGUCAGCGACUUAUAUUCUGUAGCAAGGUUAACCGAAUAGGGGAGCCGGAGGGAAACCGAGUCUUAACCGGGCGUUAAGUUGCAGGGUAUAGACCCGAAACCCGGUGAUCUAGCCAUGGGCAGGUUGAAGGUUGGGUAACACUAACUGGAGGACCGAACCGACUAAUGUUGAAAAAUUAGCGGAUGACCUGUGGCUGGGGGUGAAAGGCCAAUCAAACCGGGAGAUAGCUGGUUCUCCCCGAAAGCUAUUUAGGUAGCGCCUCGUGAACUCAUCUCCGGGGGUAGAGCACUGUUUCGGCUAGGGGGCCAUCCCGGCUUACCAACCCGAUGCAAACUGCGAAUACCGGAGAAUGUUAUCACGGGAGACACACGGCGGGUGCUAACGUCCGUCGUGAAGAGGGAAACAACCCAGACCGCCAGCUAAGGUCCCAAAGUCAUGGUUAAGUGGGAAACGAUGUGGGAAGGCCCAGACAGCCAGGAUGUUGGCUUAGAAGCAGCCAUCAUUUAAAGAAAGCGUAAUAGCUCACUGGUCGAGUCGGCCUGCGCGGAAGAUGUAACGGGGCUAAACCAUGCACCGAAGCUGCGGCAGCGACACUCAGGUGUCGUUGGGUAGGGGAGCGUUCUGUAAGCCUG
rnacentral:rRNA from 1 species